rnacentral:lncRNA from 1 species
CUGAAGUCGAGGUUGGCCACAAGCCCUCUGGUGACUCACUCAGGAGGAAGCGAGGAAGGAUAAAGAGUUGUUUCUCCCCCAAAAGAGGCAAGUAAGUCAGAAAGAAGCCCUGUGCUCCAACUCCUGGAAGAUGGGAGCCAGAGGAAAAGAAGCAGCCAAAGGAGCUGCCAGGCUGAAGCUGGGAAAGGACAGCACAGGCAGGAGGCCCCACAGGACAGGCCCUCAUGGGAAACUGCUCCCGCCUGGCCCCCAACAGCCUCGUGGAGCAGUCAAGAAUCAGCCUCGCAGGCAAAGGAGAAGCCCUUUCCAUGAGGAGCACUGCUCUUUCCUCUUCCAACAACUGCUGCGUCCCACCCAGCAGCCCAGCUGCUGUGCAAGCCCACCACUGAGAGACCCUCAGCUCCUCUGAGCCAUAUCACAUCGUCCAUCUUGGUGACCUUGGGUCUUUGACCUCUGUUCGUCUCAGCUGUCUCAUGCAUUCACUCAGGAAGGCGCCACCUUCCUGGCCCUGCUGUCUCUUUGGGAUCCAACCAAGACUGAAGAACACAUGGAACACACAGACCAAAGGACUAAAGGGAUGUGGAGAUGUCAUCUGCUCUGCCUGCGACGACAGCCCCUUUCCACAGACAAAGCCCCCACCCAGCCUGAGAUCAGAGAGCUUCCUCGUUCCUGGUAAUACAAAACAAGAAACCACAUAAAACCACUCACGCUGUCUCUUGCACUUGCAUUCUCUCCCUGUCACUUGUGCACACACACUCUCUCUUGCUCUCCUGGCAUUUCAUGACAAUCGAGUCCCAACUGCCACAUUUUCUAGAUAGAAAAGUGAAGACUUGCCAAAGGCCACAAUGGAGCCAUAGAAGCAGGGCCAGCUCAUUCUAAUCCCACCAACAGUUCCAGGCAUGCCGCUCCUGUUGGAAGCCAAGGUUCAUCUAUCUUCCUGCAGCUCCCAGGGGCUCAGCAGGGAGACAUGGAGCCCAGCGCACCCAACUGUGCCUGUUUUAGCCCAGGAGCCUAUCUCACAGCAGCUCCUUCAUCUCUCCUCCCAGCUCCCUUCUCCCUCUCCAGCUGCAGCUGCCCUGCUGUCCUCAGCAGCUGAUCCCUGUCCACCUGAUUCCCCGUGGUACUUCCCAUGCCAUGCUGAAUUCUUUCACCUUCAAUAAGAUCCAGGGCCUCAACAAUGCCCAGUGUGGCUCACACUUGCUGGAAGAGGGUGGGUGAUUAAUAAAUGCCUCUCCUAAUAAGUUUUCCUUCUCUGGAGAAGCUGCCCUACCUCUUAAUUUAGCCAAAGUGAAGCAUUCUAAAAUGUUUUAAAAGGGAGAUUCUACAAACUACUAUGUCCUAUUUUAAAGGCCCUUUAUCUUUUUUUU